UUCUUCAUCAACCCGGGGCUGGACAUGGUGAUCCGGCCGAUUCCAGAGCUGGUGGUCAAGAGCAAAGAAGACGAAGAGCAAGAUCGCAAGAGGCCGUGCGUGGAGUUUACUUGGGGGCAGCUGCUAGAAUUCACCCAGAAGCACUAUAGAACCGAUGUCCACACGCUGGACGCGUUUGAGAGCUACUUGAGGAAAACGAGCCAAGCAGCGUGAGGACGGACAGGGAAGAACGAAUGUAAAUUUGCCAAAGAUCAUCGAGCAGAGGAGGAGCCUACAGGAAAGCAAUUAUCAAGGACACUCCCUCUUCAACCCCGGAUUCUCUCGAGGCAUCCCUUCCUGGAACCAGGUGUUUCGAGUUGACGUAGGGCUGUCGAGUGGCUAGCCAACACUGCUCCUGAAGUUUUGGAAAUCUGACACGGCACUAAUGUCUGGUUUCUCUCGAAAGAGAAGGAGAAGCCACCGCAAGCAUCGCCUGGUUUAGCUUCGUUUUUAGAUCGAGGUAAGUCGUAAGUUUGAAUAUCUUUGUAUUCUAUGAUGUGUAGCAAGUGUUGGGAAAGGAUGGGAAAGCUGGCAUCAAUCGGUUUGUUGCAGUAGCCCAUGGAUAAAACUGUAGUUCGUGGAUAGAUGUAUGACAUUAUAGUCAGCAUUCCAGAAUCAAUCCUAAGAUAAAUUUGUUUAGAAUGAUCAUGUUAAAAUAAAUGGUGGCGCAGUUGGUCA